rnacentral:rRNA from 1 species
CCCUAUGGGGCGCAGCAGGCGACACUGUAGUAGGCGCUACCUCCGGAAAGACCGGUGUCGUUGUUGCUGUCUAUGUGGCUUCCGGUACCUGGGGGAGUGGCAAUGCGGCAGGCUUCCUCUAUCUGAAGUAUCCUGGAGCUGAUUGGAGCAACUGGACCAACCCCGAGAAUAUCCGGGUUGGUGGAGCCACAAGAGCCGCGACAACUGGAACAGGUGAAGCUCUUGGGCUGACCAGGCAGGAUGCAGAGACAUACUGCAACAACAUCGGCAGCACCAGGUGGGGCUGUGCGAAUAUUUGGACGCUCGAUGCGCUCACGCUCCUCUAUCUGAUCGAGUACGCCAACUGGAACUCGCAGAGUACCAGUGUUGGAAUUGGCGGGAGGGC